CGCAGGUUAUAUAGUGGCGUUCCAUAAUUCAUAAAGGUACAGCAUGGGAAAUAAACGUGCAGGAGUUCUUGUGACGCUCUUGGUCGUCUGCCUACUGGUCAUGGAGGCCGUGUCGUUACCUCGAACAAUCUCACCCGGGUUCUCGAUGUAUGAUGAAACUUUUGGCGAUAUAUGAAUUAGAUGAACGUGGCCCUCUGCUGUCUUUCCGAGAAAAAAAGAACCAAAGACAUAAUACGUGCAUUAGAGGAAAACAUAUAUCUAAAACAUAUAUCAGGUCAGACCUGAAGAUGGAAUCAAGGAGGAUUUCGAAACUUUUGUCUCGAUUUUAAUAAAUCUAAUUUGUGCA
rnacentral:misc_RNA from 1 species